UACGUAGGGGGCAAGCGUUGUCCGGAUUUAUUGGGCGGAAAGAGCUCGUAGGUGGUUCGGUAAGUCGGAUGUGAAAUCUCCAGGCUCAACCUGGAGGGGUCAUUCGAUACUGCCGUGACUAGAGGUCGGUAGGGGAGUGUGGAAUUCCUGGUGGAGCGGUGAAAUGCGCAGAUAUCAGGAGGAACACCCGUAGCGAAGGCGGCACUCUGGGCCGAUACUGACACUGAGGAGCGAAAGCGUGGGGAGCGAACAGG
rnacentral:rRNA from 1 species